rnacentral:rRNA from 1 species
GAUGAACGCUGACAGAAUGCUUAACACAUGCAAGUCUUUGGCGAAGCUGUGCUUGCACAGCCUAGCCAAGGCGGACGGGUGAGUAACGCGUAAGGGACUUGCCCUGCAGUCAGGGAUAACAGACGGAAACGACUGCUAAUACCGAAUAAGUUCCAAGAGCCGCACGGCCCAUGGAAGAAAAGGUGGCCUCUACCUGUAAGCUAUCGCCUGAAGAGGGGUUUGCGUCUGAUUAGCUGGUUGGAGGGGUAACGGCCCACCAAGGCGACGAUCAGUAGCCGGUCUGAGAGGAUGAACGGCCACACUGGAACUGAGACACGGUCCAAACUCCUACGGGAGGCAGCAGUGGGGAAUAUUGCACAAUGGGCGAAAGCCUGAUGCAGCAACGCCGCGUGAACGAUGAAGGUCUUCGGAUCGUAAAGUUCUGUUGCAGGGGAAGAUAAUGACGGUACCCUGUGAGGAAGCCCCGGCUAACUACGUGCCAGCAGCCGCGGUAAUACGUAGGGGGCUAGCGUUAUCCGGAUUUACUGGGCGUAAAGGGUGCGUAGGUGGUCCUUCAAGUCGGUGGUUAAAGGCUACGGCUCAACCGUAGUAAGCCGCCGAAACUGGAGGACUUGAGUGCAGGAGAGGAAAGUGGAAUUCCCAGUGUAGCGGUGAAAUGCGUAGAUAUUGGGAGGAACACCAGUAGCGAAGGCGGCUUUCUGGACUGCAACUGACACUGAGGCACGAAAGCGUGGGGAGCAAACAGG